GACUCCGUGGGCGUAGGACCCUCCGAGCCAGGUGCGGGAUAUAAUCUCGUGGUGGGCCGUUUUUUAAGCCGGUCCAAAAAGCACAAUAUUCGGGUGGGAGUGACCCGAUUUUCCAGCUGCUCAGUCACUUUUUGUGACAGAAAUGCCGUGUCAUUAUCCUUCAAUGUGAACUCCACAGGAAGGCUGAAAAUGAACUAAAGAGCCUGGAAAAUGUGGCUUGGUCAAGAUCUACCUAUCAGCAAGCACUCGAGCAAUGUCUGAGUGGCCUGGUAAUGGAGCCCCUCACAGAGCCUGUCACCAGCCAAUCACAGGCAUCACUCGGAGGCAUUUUCCCUUGGACGUAGCCAGCAUCCUGUUUCUUCAAGUUCAAAAACUAAAGCUUCCAUAUACCCCACCCUCUCAACGGAGAAGCUGAAUGUAAACUGUCCGUGCUAGGAAAUGUGGUAACAAGCAGCUUCAGAGAGAACGAGGAAUGAAGAAGAGCUGAAAAGAACAUGUGUAAGAGAUCAGGAGAGGGUGGGGGAUGUGAUCUUGAAGCCCAGAGCAUGGUCUGCAGAGUGUUCCAGGGACAGUAAAUAGCCAAGUGUGCAGGGCCAGCGCACAGUGCAAAGAGGCACCUGCGAGUUCCAGAGCUGCCAGAUAAAGCCCUGCACACAAGCAGUGGGGAAAGGAUUCCCUAUUUAAUAAAUGGUGCUGGGAAAACUGGCUAGCCAUGUGUAGAAAGCUGAAACUGGAUCCCUUCCUUACACCUUAUACAAAAAUCAAUUCAAGAUGGAA
rnacentral:lncRNA from 1 species